rnacentral:rRNA from 1 species
GACGAACGCUGGCGGCGUGCCUAACACAUGCAAGUCGAACGGAACUUUUUCAGAAGAUUCUUUCGGGAUGAUUUUGGUUAAGUUUAGUGGCGGACGGGUGAGUAACGCGUGAGUAACCUGCCUUUGAGAGGGGAAUAACAAUCUGAAAAGAUUGCUAAUACCGCAUAACAUAUACGAAUCGCAUGGUUUGUAUAUCAAAGAUUUUAUCGCUCAAAGAUGGACUCGCGUCCGAUUAGUUAGUUGGUGAGGUAACGGCUCACCAAGACCACGAUCGGUAGCCGGACUGAGAGGUUGAACGGCCACAUUGGGACUGAGAUACGGCCCAGACUCCUACGGGAGGCAGCAGUCGGGAAUAUUGCGCAACGGAAGAAACUCUGACGCAGUGACGCCGCGUGCAGGAAGAAGGUUUUCGGAUUGUAAACUGCUUUAGACAGGGAAGAGAAAGGACAGUACCUGUAGAAUAAGCUCCGGCUAACUACGUG